AUUGAACGCUGGCGGCAGGCUUAACACAUGCAAGUCGAACGGUAAGGCCCUUCGGGGUACACGAGUGGCGAACGGGUGAGUAACACGUGGGUAACCUGCCCUUGACUCUGGGAUAACUGCUAGAAAUGGUAGCUAAUACCGGAUACGACCCUCGGCGGCAUCGCCAGGGGGUGGAAAGAAUUUCGGUCAAGGAUGGACUCGCGGCCUAUCAGCUAGUUGGUGAGGUAACGGCUCACCAAGGCGACGGCGGGUAGCCGGCCUGAGAGGGUGACCGGCCACACUGGGACUGAGACACGGUCCAGACUCCUACGGGAGGCAGCAGUGGGGAAUAUUGCACAAUGGGCGCAAGCCUGAUGCAGCAACGCCGCGUGAGGGAUGACGGCCUUCAGGUUGUAAACCUCUUUUAGUAGGGAAGAAGCGAAAGUGACGGUACCUGCAGAAAAAGCACCGGCUAACUACGUGCCAGCCGCCGCUGUAACAC
rnacentral:rRNA from 1 species